AACCUGGUUGAUCCUGCCAGUAGUCAUAUGCUUGUCCCAAAGAUUAAGCCAUGCAUGUCUAAGUUUAAGCACCGAGUGUGAAACUGCGAAUGGCUCAUUAAAUCAGUUAUAAUUUACUUGAUAGUCAAACUUAUCAUUGGAUAACCGUGGUAAUUCUAGAGCUAAUACACGCAACAAGCCUGACGCGAGGAGGGCCGUAUUUAUUGGAUACGAAACUGAUGGCAGUGAUGCCUUGGUGAUUCACAAUAACUUUACGGAUCGUAUGGCCUUGUGCCGACGACGUAUCAUUCAAAUUUCUGCCCUAUCAACUUUCGAUGGUAAGAUAGAGGCUUACCAUGGUGAUAACGGGUAACGGGGAAUUGGGGUUCUAUUCCGGAGAGGGAGCCUGAGAAAUGGCUACCACGUCCAAGGAUGGCAGCAGGCGCGCAAAUUACCCAAUGCCGAUACGGCGAGGUAGUGACAGAAAAUAACGAUGCGGGGCCGCAAGGCUUUGCAAUUGGAAUGAGUACAAUUUAAAUCGCUUAACGAGUAACGAUUGGAGGGCAAGUCUGGUGCCAGCAGCCGCGGUAAUUCCAGCUCCAAUAGCGUAUAUUAAAGUUGUUGCAGUUAAAACGCUCGUAGUCUGAGAUGGUGGGGCGGGGUGGUGGGCGACGAAAGUUGCGUGCAGCUGCUGCUCCAUUUUUGUGUAGAAUAUGCACGAGUUACUUUGAGGAAAUUAGGGUGUUCAAAGCAGGCGUUUGCUUGGAUACUGCAGCAUGGAAUAACGGAAUAGGACUUGCUUCUUAUUUUGUUGGUUUGGA
rnacentral:rRNA from 1 species